rnacentral:rRNA from 1 species
GGGGAUCGUAAGACCUUGCGUUAAUGGAGCGGCCGAUAUCUGAUUAGCUUGUUGGUGAGGUAAAGGCUCACCAAGGCGACGAUCAGUAGCUGGUUUGAGAGAACGACCAGCCACACUGGAACUGAGACACGGUCCAGACUCCUACGGGAGGCAGCAGUGGGGAAUUUUGGACAAUGGGGGCAACCCUGAUCCAGCCAUUCCGCGUGAGUGAAGAAGGCCUUCGGGUUGUAAAGCUCUUUCGCAAGGGAAGAAAACUUAUGAUCGAAUAAAUCAUGAGGUUGACGGUACCUUGAUAAGAAGCACCGGCUAACUACGUGCCAGCAGCCGCGGUAAUACGUAGGGUGCGAGCGUUAAUCGGAAUUACUGGGCGUAAAGCGUGCGCAGGCGGUUUGAAUGUCGGAUG